AGGACGAACGCUGGCGGCGUGCUUAACACAUGCAAGUCGAGCGGUGAUCCUCCUUCGGGAGGUGAUCAGCGGCGAACGGGUGAGUAACACGUGGGCAACCUGCCCUCACACUGGGAUAACCUCGGGAAACCGGGCUAAUACCGGAUACGACCUCGAGCGGCAUCUCUUGAGGUGGAAAGCUCCGACGGUGAGGGAUGGGCCCGCGGCCUAUCAGCUUGGUUGGGUGGGUAAUGGCCUACCGAAGGCGACGACGGGGUA
rnacentral:rRNA from 1 species